AAGUCACAAAAUGUUCUUUAACUAAAGGUACAAAGACGUGGAGUGAUUUGUGAAUGGGGGUGUCGGAGUGAAUGAGGGCGCUGGACUUGACUCUCAUGAUAUCUCACAGCUUUUUGCGGAUGGGGAGGCACGAGACUUGGCUGCAUUUUUUACAUUUGAAAUGUUUUUUGAUGGGAUUUAUUUUAUUUGUUAUUUGUUCCUCCUCCAUGACCCAAAAACGCCUCAUCGACAGUGAACAGAAUCUUUUUUCUUUUUUAUAUAUAUAUAUAAAUAAAAUUAGAUGGGUGCUUUGAGCCUCUCUCCAUCCCAUGGCAUUAAGAGGCUCUGGAAGAAGAAAGAUGUAUUGAUUACUCAAAGUGGUUACAAAAAGCUAGUGUCUGUAGAUUAUUGAUAUAAUGAACUCUAUAAAGUCUGGGAUAUAUGCAGUGGCGUACCAAGGGGGGCGGAGAAGACGGACCCUUCCGGUCUUCUGAUCAGUGGGAUCAUUGAAGAACCUUAAGUUUUAAGUAUACAUACCUAUAGGUAGGAAUAUAAAAAAGGGACUUUGUAUUCUGGGAGAAUGAUUACGUAUAAAUCUGCCAUAGUUAUGUUUAAAAGUUUAUGUUAGAAGCUAUAAUUUUAUAAGAUA
rnacentral:lncRNA from 1 species